rnacentral:rRNA from 1 species
ACGGGAGGCAGCAGUGGGGAAUAUUGGGCAAUGGGCGAAAGCCUGACCCAGCCACGCCGCGUGAAGGAAGAAGGUCUUCUGAUUGUAAACUUCUUUUAUGAGGGACGAAGGAAGUGACGGUACCUCAUGAAUAAGCCACGGCUAACUACGUGCCAGCAGCCGCGGUAAUCCGUAGGUGGCAAGCGUUAUCCGGAUUUACUGGGUGUAAAGGGCGCGUAGGCGGGGAUGCAAGUCAGAUGUGAAAUCCAUGGGCUCAACUCAUGAACUGCAUUUGAAACUGUAUCUCUUGAGUGCUGGAGUGGUAGAUGGAAUUCCUUGUGUAGCGGUGAAAUGCGUAGAUAUAAGGAAGAACACCAGUGGCGAAGGCGAUCUACUGGACAGUAACUGACGCUGAGGCGCGAAAGCGUGGGGAGCAAACAGGAUUAGAUACCCUGGUA